rnacentral:rRNA from 1 species
GCUAUAAUGCAGUCGAGCGGACAGAUGGGAGCUUGCUCCCUGAUGUUAGCGGCGGACGGGUGAGUAACACGUGGGUAACCUGCCUGUAAGACUUGGAUUACUCCGGGAAACCGGGGCUAAUACCGGAUGGUUGUCUGAACCGCAUGGUUCAGACAUAAAAGGUGGCUUCGGCUACCACUUACAGAUGGACCCGCGGCGCAUUAGCUAGUUGGUGAGGUAACGGCUCACCAAGGCGACGAUGCGUAGCCGACCUGAGAGGGUGAUCGGCCACACUGGGACUGAGACACGGCCCAGACUCCUACGGGUGGCAGCAGUAGGGAAUCUUCCGCAAUGGACGAAAGUUUGACGGAGCAACGCCGCGUGAGUGAUGAAGGUUUUCGGAUCGUAAAGCUCUGUUGUUAGGGAAGAACAAGUGCCGUUCAAAUAGGGCGGCACCUUGACGGUACCUAACCAGAAAGCCACGGCUAACUACGUGCCAGCAGCCGCGGUAAUACGUAGGUGGCAAGCGUUGUCCGGAAUUAUUGGGCGUUAAGGGCUCGCAGGCGGUUUCUUAAGUCUGAUGUGAAAUCCCCCGGCUCAACCGGGGAGGGUCAUUGGAAACUGGGGAACUUGAGUGCAGAAGAGGAGAGUGGAAUUCCACGUGUAGCGGUGAAAUGCGUAGAGAUGUGGAGGAACACCAGUGGCGAAGGCGACUCUCUGGUCUGUAACUGACGCUGAGGAGCGAAAGCGUGGGGAGCGAACAGGAUUAGAUACCCUGGUAGUCCACGCCGUAAACGAUGAGUGCUAAGUGUUAGGGGGUUUCCGCCCCUUAGUGCUGCAGCUAACGCAUUAAGCACUCCGCCUGGGGAGUACGGUCGCAAGACUGAAACUCAAGGAUUUGACGGGGGCCCGCACAAGCGGUGGAGCAUGUGGGUUUAAUUCGAAGCAACGCGAAGACUCUUACCAGGUCUUGACAUCCUCUGACAAUUCCUAGAGAUAGGACGUCCCCUUUCGGGGGCAGAGUGACAGGUGGUGCAUGAUUGUCGUCAGCUCGUGUCUUGAGAUGUUGGGUUAAGUCUCGCAACGAGCGCAACCCUUGA